rnacentral:misc_RNA from 1 species
GAAAUGCGAUAAGUAGUGUGAAUUGCAGAAUUCAGUGAAUUAUCGAAUCUUUGAACGCACAUUGCGCCCUUUGGUAUUCCUUAGGGCAUGCCUGUUCGAGCGUCAUCUAAACCUUCAAGCCCUGCUUGGUGUUGGGUGCCUGUCCCGCCUCCGCGCGCGGACUCACCUCAAAUCCAUUGGCGGCCCCCGCGUCGGCCACGAGCGCAGCAGAAACGCGAACUCGUGAGCCCGUCCGGGCGGCUCCCAGAAGCUACACCCACCCAGUUUGACCUCGGAUCAGGUAGGGAUACCCGCUGAACUUAAGC